AAUGAACGCUGGCGGCGCGCCUAAUACAUGCAAGUCGAGCGAGAAGACGUAGCAAUACGUUUGUAAAGCGGCGAACGGGUGAGGAAUACAUGGGUAACCUACCCUAGAGUGGGGAAUAACUAGCCGAAAGGUUAGCUAAUACCGCGUACGCUCCUUGGACUUCGGUUCAGGGAGGAAAGCGAUGCCGAGGGUAUCGCGCUCUUGGAUGGGCUCAUGUCCUAUCAGCUUGUUGGGAGGUAACGGCUCACCAAGGCUUCGACGGGUAGCUGGUCUGAGAGGACGAUCAGCCACACUGGCACUGCGACACGGGCCAGACUCCUACGGGAGGCAGCAGUGGGGAAUCUUGCGCAAUGGGCGAAAGCCUGACGCAGCGACGCCGCGUGA
rnacentral:rRNA from 1 species